rnacentral:rRNA from 1 species
GACGAACGCUGGCGGCGUGCUUAACACAUGCAAGUCGAACGGAAAGGCCCUGCUUUUGUGGGGUGCUCGAGUGGCGAACGGGUGAGUAACACGUGAGUAACCUGCCCUUGACUUUGGGAUAACUUCAGGAAACUGGGGCUAAUACCGGAUAGGAGCUCCUGCUGCAUGGUGGGGGUUGGAAAGUUUCGGCGGUUGGGGAUGGACUCGCGGCUUAUCAGCUUGUUGGUGGGGUAGUGGCUUACCAAGGCUUUGACGGGUAGCCGGCCUGAGAGGGUGACCGGCCACAUUGGGACUGAGAUACGGCCCAGACUCCUACGGGAGGCAGCAGUGGGGAAUAUUGCACAAUGGGCGGAAGCCUGAUGCAGCAACGCCGCGUGCGGGAUGACGGCCUUCGGGUUGUAAACCGCUUUCGCCUGUGACGAAGCGUGAGUGACGGUAAUGGGUAAAGAAGCACCGGCUAACUACGUGCCAGCAGCCGCGGUGAUACGUAGGGUGCGAGCGUUGUCCGGAUUUAUUGGGCGUAAAGGGCUCGUAGGUGGUUGAUCGCGUCGGAAGUGUAAUCUUGGGGCUUAACCCUGAGCGUGCUUUCGAUACGGGUUGACUUGAGGAAGGUAGGGGAGAAUGGAAUUCCUGGUGGAGCGGUGGAAUGCGCAGAUAUCAGGAGGAACACCAGUGGCGAAGGCGGUUCUCUGGGCCUUUCCUGACGCUGAGGAGCGAAAGCGUGGGGAGCGAACAGGCUUAGAUACCCUGGUAGUCCACGCUGUAAACGGUGGGUACUAGGUGUGGGGUCCAUUCCACGGGUUCCGUGCCGUAGUUAACGCUUUAAGUACCCCGCCUGGGGAGUACGGCCGCAAGGCUAAAACUCAAAGGAAUUGACGGGGCCCCGCACAAGCGGCGGAGCAUGCGGAUUAAUUCGAUGCAACGCGUAGAACCUUACCUGGGUUUGACAUGGAUCGGGAGCGCUCAGAGAUGGGUGUGCCUCUUUUGGGGUCGGUUCACAGGUGGUGCAUGGCUGUCGUCAGCUCGUGUCAUGAGAUGUUGGGUUAAGUCCCGCAACGAGCGCAACCCUUGUUCACUGUUGCCAGCACGUUAUGGUGGGGACUCAGUGGAGACCGCCGGGGUCAACUCGGAGGAAGGUGGGGAUGACGUCAAGUCAUCAUGCCCCUUAUGUCCAGGGCUUCACGCAUGCUACAAUGGCUGGUACAGAGAGUGGCGAGCCUGUGAGGGUGAGCGAAUCUCGGAAAGCCGGUCUCAGUUCGGAUUGGGGUCUGCAACUCGACCUCAUGAAGUCGGAGUCGCUAGUAAUCGCAGAUCAGCAACGCUGCGGUGAAUACGUUCCCGGG